UACAGAGGUCUCAAGCGUUGUUCGGAAUUACUGGGCGUAAAGGGUGCGCAGGCCGCGCGGGCAGUCAAAUGUGUAAUUCAGGGGCUCAACCCCUGCACUGCGCUUGAUACUUCUGCGCUCGAACCUUGGAGAGGAGUCUGGAAUUCUCGGUGUAGCAGUGAAAUGCGUGGAUAUCGAGAAGAACACUUAGGGCGAAAGCAAGACUCUGGACAAGUGUUGACGCUCAUGCACGAAGGCUAGGGUAGCGAACGGG
rnacentral:rRNA from 1 species